rnacentral:tRNA from 1 species
GCCUGGGUGGCUCAGUCGGUUGAGCAUCUGACUUCGGCUCAGGUCACGAUCUCACGGUUUGUGAGUUCGAGCCCCGCAUUGGGCU